rnacentral:rRNA from 1 species
GGGCCCGCACAAGCGGUGGAGCAUGUGGUUUAAUUCGAUGCAACGCGAAGAACCUUACCUACCCUUGACAUCCUCGGAAUCUGCCGGAGACGGCGGAGUGCCUUCGGGAACCGAGUGACAGGUGCUGCAUGGCUGUCGUCAGCUCGUGUUGUGAAAUGUUGGGUUAAGUCCCGUAACGAGCGCAACCCCUGUCCCUAUUUGCCAGCGAUUCGGUCGGGAACUCUAGGGAGACUGCCGGUGACAAACCGGAGGAAGGUGGGGACGACGUCAAGUCAUCAUGGCCCUUACGGGUAGGGCUACACACGUGCUACAAUGGCAGGUACAAAGGGUUGCAAGACGGCGACGUGGAGCU